UGUGCCAGCAGCCGCGGUAAUACGUAGGGUGCGAGCGUUAAUCGGAAUUACUGGGCGUAAAGCGUGCGCAGGCGGUUUGUUAAGACGUAUGUGAAAUCCCCGGGCUCAACCUGGGAACUGCAUUCGUGACUGGCAAGCUAGAGUAUGGCAGAGGGGGGUAGAAUUCCACGUGUAGCAGUGAAAUGCGUAGAGAUGUGGAGGAAUACCGAUGGCGAAGGCAGCCCCCUGGGCCAAUACUGACGCUCAUGCACGAAAGCGUGGGGAGUAAACAGGAUUAGAUACCCUGGUAGUCCACGCCCUAAACGACGUCAACUAGUUGUUGGGGAUUCAUUUCCUUAGUAACGUAGCUAACGCGUGAAGUUGACCGCCUGGGGAGUACGGUCGCAAGAUUAAAACUCAAAGUAAUUACGGG
rnacentral:rRNA from 1 species